GCCAGGUAUGGUGGUGCAUACCUGUAGUCUCAGCUACUCGGGAGGCUGAGGGAGGAGGAUUGCUUGACCCCAGGAGUUUGAGGCUGCAGUGAGCUAUGAUUGCACCACUGCACUCCAGCCUGGGUGACAGAGCGAGACCCUGCCUCUA
rnacentral:SRP_RNA from 1 species